UUCGUCGCUUCAUUUGCCAGAGUCAAAAUAGGUGAACUGAAGUAAGAGGAGAGGUGAAAGGUCAACUUCCCAGCAGCCUUUGUUCUUGUCUCUGAUAUUGGAACCCUGAGUGACUGUGUGGGACGCUCUCUAAUUUUGUGGCCAGGGUGCCUGAGGAGACCGGAGGCAUCCAGUCCCCGUGGAGCUGGAGUUACAGGCAAUUGUAAGCCUCAGGACAUCGGCACCGAGGAGAAACCCUGGACUUCUCUACAUAGCUGUGAGCACUCUUAACGACUGAGCCACCUCUCCAGCCCUACAGCUUUAAGUUUUACUGAGGGGAGUAGUUGCAGUUUCUGCCUCUCCUUUGUGGAUGGUUGUUACAUCGUAGAAACAAUUAUAAAUCCUGAGAAGAUCUUAAACAGAAAGAAUACAGAACUUUUGUCUGUACUUCAUCCCCUUACACUUGUUAUCUGAGGGAUCUUCAACACUUCAAUUCCACUUUGCCCCAGUUUUCUAUUUUAUUUCAUUUUAUCGAUAACAUGUAUUUUGGUGGGGUUGGGGGGAGCAUGGGCAGGUCAGAAGACAACUUUCCACAGUUGAUUUUCUCUUCCCAACUUGUGAAUCUGGGGGAUCUAACAAGUUAUCAGGCUUGGCCCCAAGUGCCUUUAUCCUUUGAGCCAUCUUGCUAGGGUCUCUGUUUUAGAAAAAAGAAAAAGAAAAAAGAUGUUAGACUUCGCUAAAAAUCUUACUUCACCUCUGAAAUCCAGUGAAACUCUAUCCUUUAACUUCUCAAAUGGAAUCGACUCAUCUGGGAAAGAUGUGUAACCCGCAGCUACUACACAGAUGGUAUGAAAUGGCGUGGCCUUCUGAGGUUAGAUUAAAACCAGGCAAGCUUAGGAAAUGACUUACCAGAGUCCUGUGAACCACAGCUCCUGUGCUCUAGAAAAUGCCUAGAGAGAGAAAAGUGUUAAGACAAAAUUGCCUCUAAAAACCAUUGUCCUGUCUCCUCUUCUGAACUCCAUUCAUAGGGGCUUUUACACUCAAAGCCACCCAGAGCAGCCAGGCGCUAUCUUAUGUCUGCCUGGGUGUUCAGCUCCCUGAAUCUCUCCCCAGCAAGCCUUAGCUGUGAGUGGUUUAUUGUUGUCUUGCCUCCCUGUCUGUCACCUCAUCCACUGAGCUUUACCUCUUCUGCCUUCCUUUCUGUAUCCUCCCCACCCCUCCAGCAUGGAGACUGAACCGAAGGCUUUGCUUGUACUAGGCAAACAUAUGCAACUCAUGCCCUUGGGAAAUCAAACAUACUACAAAAGAGUGGUAGUCACAGAGAAUAUCAGUUCAUGCUAGAAAAAACGUUACCUUUGUCACGUAACUUGAAAAGAACUUAAUUCUUGUAGUUUCUGUUUAGUCAGGAGAAAGAAUGUGGGAAGAAUAUGUCACAUAUGUGAGAGUAGCUGGUAUGUUAAAGAACUAGUAUAGUUAAUAACACCAAUAAAAGUUAUUGAAGUCAUAAAAAUGAAUAAAAUCUUCCCAUGAAAGUUUUUAAAAGGUAUGAUGGCUUCAUUCCCAUUUUUCAAUAAAAAUAAGACCAGAUGUGGUAGCUCGUGCCUGCAACCCCAGCAUUUUGGAAAGUAAGUAGAAGAAUUGUACGUUUGACGCUAGCCUAAGCUACAAUGUGAGACCUUGUUUUGUUUUUUGUUUGUUUGGUUCUCCUCCCCGCCCCCAGAGCUGAGGACUGAACCCAGGGCUAAAUCCCCAACCCCUUGUUUGUUUGUUUUAAGAAUUAAUUUAAAUAAAUGAAAAUAGGCCUGAGGUAUAAGUCAGUGGUAGAGUGUGGAUGUUUCAUAGGCAUGAAGCUCUGGUUUUAAUAUUAAUCCAUCACAAAAAUAACAAUAUAAUAAUAAAAAUAAGAUCUUAUAAGUUUGACAGUCCUUGGCUGGGGCACAGCACUCAGCCCCAAAUGCUAGGGGCUCUGUGUUCAAUCCCCAGUACCCUAACACACACACCACCAGCACCACCAAUUCUCAGAGCAAUCGGGAUCACUAGGCCACCCUAACAACACUGAACCAGAAGCAGAUGGCUGCCCCAGGCAUACAGACUAGAACAGGGAGAAGUCAUGUAUUUAUUUUGUCUCCAAAUCACUCAAUUUGUCUGUAGUAAAACUUGUACUUUAAGUUGGAUUCGUUUUCACUGGACCACACAAGUUACCUUGAUAAGGUGUUAGAAAACACAAUACAGUUGCAGUGCUGCUGUCAGACCCAGGGCCUCACACACAUCAGGCAAGCACUCUGUCGCUGAGCAGUAUUAGCAGACCUGUAAACCAGCUUCUAAUCAAGACCAAGGCAUGCCCGGGAAGGGACUUGGAAAGAGUUGAACAGACAUUUUCUUUAUUGUUUCUUAAAAAUGAAAUGUUGGCUGUAAUAAACCUUCUCAAGUAGGAUUUUUGCCUGCUUGGCUUUUUCCCCCUCCUUUUUAGUUUUCAAUAAUCUUCCUACAUAAGAAUGUGUAGGAAACCCCAAAUGGGUGGUCAUUUAUAACCCCGUACAGUGCAAAGUGUACUGAGAGUCGGCAUGGACUAGCACCUGCUACUCUGGGUUGGUGGUGCUGUUCGAUUUCCCCAUACUCACCAGCUGCCCAGUGACAUGAGGGCCAGUUUUGUUUCCCCAGACAUUGAACACUAAAGCAAUACUGUGAGUAACCAUUCAAACAAAAAACAGGUGAUGUGACAAUUCAAAGGGAAGCAGAGGCCCAGACUGAUAAUUGAUAGUUGUCAACUGGCUGAGGGCCCUUUGCCCAGACAGAAGCAGAUGAAGAGAAACACCUGUACAGUUCCUUCUUGGCACUGUCCCUAACUUGAAGCAACAGUGAGCUACAGGAGAUGGCCAUAAGCAAUAAUAAGCAGGAAAUAGUCUGUUCCUGGCUUUUGUGCAGGGAACCUUAGGUACUGUAACCUUAAACCUACAGUGACCAAUGUUAAGUUUUGGUGCAGGUCCAAAAAGGUUUUGGGGAUUCCUAGCUAUUAAUGGCGCCUUUUUAACAGCUUUAAGACUUAAGGCAUUGAGUUGUGGUCUCACCAUGUAGCUCAGGUUAGUGGGAGGUUGGUGGGGGGAGAGCUCACCAUGUAGCUCAGGCUAGCCUAGGUCUUGUUAUGCCUCAAACUCAAUCCUGCGCAGACUCCUGAGUGCUGGGGUUGUAAGUGCACCCCACAUGCCCUGCUGUGCUUCCCAUCUUCCUCAGCUCUCAAGCCUUUUCACUUCAGUUGUUGCCAACUGUUUCUAAUCUAACUGCUCUCUGGAGCUGUUCAGCACCCUCUCAUAGCCAUUGCCACUUCUGCCACCGUGUCUGCGCUGGCAUUGCCCUGACUCCAUUACCACCACCUCAGCUAUCACCACUGCUGCCUCCAUGUCAGCCCACUCUACUGAAGACAAAGAUCCGAAGUAACCAGAAAAGGCAACGUGGGAGAAACCUGUUCCUGGGCCUCGUGUUGUGACACAUAGCAAGGAAGACAGUGUCCAGCCAGCUCCCAGAGCAAACCGGUCAGCUUGCUUGAACACCUAGAAGAGGAGUAGCAGUAUUUGUGCCAAUACAGUAGACCGUGGUGGAAAUGGAGGACUGUGUGCACACUAAUCAUGGCAUUGUUCUGGAACCUGUCACAGAAGACCCUCUGCUCUGCCCCAAGGGGAGAUGCUUGCCUUUUGACCUGGAUGGUGGUUACAGAAUCAUCUAGAUUUCACCAAGACUUGGGAGGACAGAAAAAUCUAACAUAAGUUGUUUGAAACAGGCAUGCCCGGGGUUCUUCAGGUUGCUGUUGGCUUCCUCAAGUGCUAGUCUGAGGACAGUCAGUUGGCUGCUUGUGCUCUGAAGCAUCUACGGCACAAAGCUAAUAGGUCAGUUAGGAGGUCAUGCUGUCUAUCUCUAAAAUUCUUGCUUCUUUACGGGAAAAUUAAAUACAAGGGCACUUACAAUAAGGGAGCCUUAACAUCAGUGGUGAUUCUUUAUAGUUUCCAAGAGUGUUUAACCUGCCCAGAGCCCCCAAAUCGGUCUCAGUAUGACAGCCAUAGAUAGAGGAAUUUCCUUUACAUACUACAUACUUACCAUACUUCUUGUUCGAAAGAUGGACAAUUGUUUCUUGCAAUCAUUACUGAUGAGGAUGGCCAUUAGAUAAACUAAUCUCAGUCAGGGAGAUGACUCAGCUCUGUAAAAGCAUUUACCAUGCAAGUUGACCUGAACACAUGGUAGAAGGAGAGAAUUGUCUCCCAAAAGUUAUCCUCUCAGCAUACACACACUCCUGUGCUCAUAUCAUACAUAGACACAAUAAUAACAUGGAAUUCUAACAACCAAUCUCAGACAAAGCUGUAUACAGGAGGGUUUGGUCUUCAGCUGUUUAGAAAUGCUCAGGUAACUGGGCGGCUGCAUGUUAUGAACAAAGAAGUAACUGAUACCCCUGUGCCCUCUCCCCUCUCCCGCAUCUUCCUCCCCAUUUUAGCUGCACCCAGAUGGAGUCAAAACAGACCUUUCAGAUGAGCCGUGCAUGGCACCUUGCAUCUUUCAGCCCUGGGGUGCCUUUCCCUUUAUUUCUGAUUCCAAACCUUACUCCCAUCUAACAGCAGCCUUCAGAUAGAGCCACCCAUCACCACUAUCAGUCAGUUUACUUUUCUGUGUUUUUUGUCCUCCUGAGCCUUUGGACGGUUGGCUCAGUGGUCCUUUGGUUUAGGGUUAGUCAAGUGUAGCAGGAGAGCAGGGAGUUUUUUGGUUUUUUUUGUUUUUGUUUUUGUUCUUGUUUUUUUUUUUUUUGGUUCUUUUUUUCAGAGCUGGGGACCGAACCCAGGGCCUUGCGCUUCCUAGGCAAGCGCUCUACCACUGAGCUAAAUCCCCAGCCCCGAGAGCAGGGAGUUUUGCCAUGGACUCCUUUCUCUAGCAUUCCUGAAAGGGCCAGGGCAACAAUUGAAGCCAGAAGACUUUUAACAAAUAGCCACUAAGCAAAGCUCUGAAAUAGCUCUGUUUGGACCCAAGACUAUGGAGCUUGCUUAACCAGAAUGAAAGUUUGGACUGUGUCUUCGUUAGGGUUUUACUGCUGUGAAGAGACACCAUGACCAAGGCAACUCUUUUAAAGGACAUCAUUGGAUUGGGACUGGCUUACAGGUCCUUAGAUUCAGUCCAUUACCAUCAUGGCAGGAAGCAUGGCAGCACAGCAUCCAGACAGGCAUGGUGCUGAGGAGCUGAGUCUCCCAGGCAGCGAGGACAAGGGUCUCAAAGUCUAUCCUCACAGUGACAUACGUCUUCCAACAAGGCCUCAUCUCCUAAUAGUGCCACUCCCUAGGCCAAGCAUAUUCAAAUCACCACAGACUGGCUUUACACUUAGGAAAUAAGAUUUAAAAAUAUGAAACAAUGUGUAAAGGUAAGGACUUCGUGAUUCUUUCAUGUAUCUUCCUUGAAUAGUAACCAUGCGCUAGCUACAAAUAGCCCAAAGACUGUGAAGAGAUACAAAGUAAAGUGAUAAAUGGUCCCAGCAGUGAGUUAUUACUGUAUCCUGGGAAGAGCCAGUACCAUCCUUCAUCCCAGAUUCUCUUCUCCAUCCUUCCCCUCCCCUCCCCUCCUGAGAAAGAGCAAGAUACACAUUCUUGGACAGAGAAUUACCUUGAAGAUAGGAACCAGGACCAUGAUUUGAGAAGAUUUUGAAUCAAUAACAUCCUCUAGGUGUUAACUUUAAUAUUUUGGUGACUAUUCUAGAAUAUGGGAUACAGAGAUAACUUUAAAUUAUAAAUGAGGGCUGGAGAGAUGGCUCAGUAGUCAAGACUGCUCUUGCAGAGAACCUAAGUCUAAUUAUCACAAUCUACUUCAGAUGGCUCACCACCUCCUGUAACCCCAGUUCCAGGGGAGCUGAUACUUUUAGCCCCUGCAGGUUACACACACACACACACACACACACACACACACACACACACACACACACACUUGAUUAAAAAUCUUGAAAUUUUUAAUGAAUUUAUUAAUGAUCCUUAGCCCUUCAUAUUGUCAUAUCAAUAGAUACAAACUACAAGAAAACACACUAUAAGCCUGGUGCAGUAGUACAUAACUAAUUCCAGCAGUCAGUGAGCUGAGGCAGAAGAGUUACAACUUCGAGGUCAGCCAGGGCUUCAUAGAGUGACCCUGUCUCAAAAACACAAAAGCAACAACAAAACCCUCACUUUGAAAGAAAAGCAAAUGACAGCUAAGCAUGGUGGCUCAUUCCUGCAUUAAGGCUAAAGCAUAAGUUAAAGACCAAGGCUAUAGUAUGACACUCAAAAACAAACAAAUUACUCAAAACUUAGUAACCUAUAUAGACCCGUGGGUCAGCCAUUUGAGAUGAACUUAGUGGAGCAGUUCUGGUAACCAACACACACACCACAUACUGAACACAUACAUAUACACUGUACAGGCACACACUGUACACUCACACUGCACACAUGCACAUAUGAGCACACGUGUGUGCUCCCAACCUCCCUGGAAUAUGGAAUUAUUCACUAGUCUCCAGACAACCCAGAUUCUGUGUAUGACAGAUUCAUUCAUUUAUGACUGAUUAGCUCUGUCUGAGCCUUCAAGUUUCAUCUUGUCCUUUUUCUUCCACAAAACUCUUGAUGCUGUUUUUUAAGACUUUGUCUGUGUAGCUCUGGCUGUCCUGGAACGUUUUACUCUCUCUAUGGGUCAAGUUGUUCUCAAACUCAGAGAACCACCCACUUCUGCCAGCUGAGUUCUGGGAUAAAGGUGUGCUCACCACUGUAGGCCCAAAGUUAAGCAAACAGUCACGGUUUCACUGUAUAGCCCUGGUUAACCUCAAACUCACAGCCAUCCCACCUCUGCUUCUCAAAAACUCCAAGAAAACUCUUGUGUGCGUGUCUCAUUCCUCACCCUUCAUCACCUAGACUUGUCCGUCUGUCUUCCCAUGGUGUCUCAUGCUUGCCAACUUUGCCCUUCUUGUCUGUGGAAAAAGCCACAUCAAAUACUCCUGUACCCUGCACAGUGUCUAGUAGCCAAGAGGCCUCAAUAAGCUUUCACUGAGAUAAGAUGAAUCACAAGGGAAUGAAGAAAUGCAUGUUGCUGACGUCAGCAGGUGCUAAAGCAGUAUUCAUACCCAUUCAUAGUCACUUUGGAACAAUAUAACGUUGUGAAAUAACCCAAGUGGGGGAAAACAUUGCAAAAAUGAAGGGGAACCCGUGACAGCGUUGGAUGUACUCUGAUACACUGAUGGGAACCCCAGACAGAAUCAGGAAACGGGCGGCCACCUGAAGGAUGAGGACAUGGUAGAGAGGGGGGAUUUCAGCUUCAGCCCGAGAUUCCAUCAGGGGAGGAAGUACACGUUCACCCCCACCGGCCAGUGCCUCCAUCAGCCAUAUCAACACAAUGAAACUCCUUUUAAAAUCACAACAGCUGAGUCUGGGAAGCUUCCAAAGGCUACAGCCUCGAGGAGGUUCCUGAAGUGGGUAUACCCAAGGAGGAGAGAGGAGCACCUACGCCUUCCCACAUUACUUGGCUUCUGUGUCUCUUUAUGACACGAAUAUGACAAGAAGUGGAUAAAAGGAACCAAGUGAUUCUCUGAGUUGUACAAAUAUCCCUGGCAAGUUAAUUGAGUCCAAGGAAGAGAUCAUGGGAAACUUGGAUAGCCAGUUGUUCAAAAGCACAAGUGAACAACCUGGGGCCUGAGGUUGGCUUCAGGAGUGGGCAUCUGCCCAUCUGAUGUCAGAAGUGUAGGUUGUUGAGAGGGUAGGAAAAAUUACUGUUUUCUCCACAGCAUGACAGUCAGCCAUUUUUUUUUUAUAACUUCAGAAGCCAGAAGCAAUCAAAUGCCCAGUUAAGUGAAAACCUAACUUAUAGUGAACUAAUGGUAAAGGUAGAUAAAUUAGGGGCAGGGACAGGUAAUAAGCAGUUCUAUGUAUUUACUGGGGAAAUGUCUGCCUCCAAAUUGGGGUGAUGCCUGCAACCCAGAGAAUACACAUGCAAGUCCAGUGUGAUGAGCAGAAUGAGCUUAUUAAGGCUUGCCUACGGAGUGGCAGACAACUACCCGUUCACAGGGAGGCCACACCUCCCACUCACCUGAUUUCUCAUUUUUGAGGUUCUAAGCAGAAAGCAAAAUUUGUACAAACCUGGGCUUUGAUCGCCAUCUAGUGUUAGAAUAGCCAAUGUGCCUACAAGCUCACACCUAGAACAAACUAGGAAAUGUAUGUUUAUGUUUAUGUUCCUUUGUUAUUAUUGUUAUCAUAUUUAUGUGUGUGCGUGCACGUUCACGUGUGUGUUCGCAGGCCUGGAACAACAUUCAGACAUGAAUGUUAAAGAGCAGCUUGUAAGACUUCUUUCCUUGCAACAUGAGGGCCAAGGGAUUGAACUCAGAUCAUCAAGCUUGAACUACAAGCACCUUUCCUUGUGGAGCCAUUUUGCUGGCCAAACCUCUUACUAAGGUUUCUACUGCUCUCAACACAUGCUCCCUAAUCAUGGGAGCUAUGGUUUGAUUGAUCAACUGUAAUCUAAAUAGGGUUCAGCUUCCAGAGUCUACACAAGUUUGGUAAGAAUGGAGAAAACUUGGAGUAAGAAAUGUAAAGUGGGGGGCUGGAGAGAUGGCUCAGUGGUUAAGAGCACCCGACUGCUCUUCCAGAGAUCAUGAGUUCAAUUCCCAGCAACCACAUGGUGGCUCACAACCAUCUGUAAAGAGAUCUGAUGCCCUCUUCUGGUGUAUCUGAAGACAGCUACAGUGUACUUAUAUAUAAUAAAUGAAUAAAUCUUAAAAAAAAAAAAAAGAAAUGUAAA